GAGUUUGAUCUUGGCUCAGGAUGAACGCUGGCGGCGUGCCUAAUACAUGCAAGUCGAGCGAACGGACGAGAAGCUUGCUUCUCUGAUGUUAGCGGCGGACGGGUGAGUAACACGUGGAUAACCUACCUAUAAGACUGGGAUAACUUCGGGAAACCGGAGCUAAUACCGGAUGAUAUUUUGAACCGCAUGGUUCAAAAGUGAAAGACGGUCUUGCUGUCACUUAUAGAUGGAUCCGCGCUGCAUUAGCUAGUUGGUAAGGUAACGGCUUACCAAGGCAACGAUGCAUAGCGACCUGAGAGGGUGAUCGGCCACACUGGAACUGAGACACGGUCCAGACUCCUACGGGAGGCAGCAGUAGGGAAUCUUCCGCAAUGGGCGAAAGCCUGACGGAGCAACGCCGCGUGAGUGAUGAAGGUCUUCGGAUCGUAAAACUCUGUUAUUAGGGAAGAACAUAUGUGUAAGUAACUGUGCACAUCUUGACGGUACCUAAU
rnacentral:rRNA from 1 species